CCUGGCACGACCUGGCCCCACCUCGGGCCUCCUGUGGCUGAGCUCUGAGGUUCACCGAGAUGCUCUCACAGAGCAUCCUCCUCCAAUCCCCAACCUGGCCGUGGAUCACCGUCAUCCACCCAUGAGCCGAAGCGCUUCUUCCCUCCAGAGAAGGCUCUCCCGUCGACGCAGUUGAGUGAACUUGCAUGCUCUGUGCUGUCCACAGUCUCAGGAGCAGGAGAAGGCGAGAUGCACGCACACAUCCACGCCGGGCUGACUCCACAGAAAACCAGCUCCCAUCAACAUGUCAGGACAGUCAGAGUUUUCUGGAAGGUUUUGUUCUGACUGGGGGUUUCUUGACCUGGGGUCCACGGACACAGAAUGCCAUGGUUCGGAGAACACCUGUGGACUUGGAAGGGAAGGAAAACUCCCAAGAAACGAUUCUACAAAGGGGAGUGGGUGUGGAAUAAGGAGGCGCUCUGAAUUUAUCUCGUUUGUCAUCCCCAACCUUCAAGACAAACUCUGCCAACGUCCCCCUCGCGUCCACUGCCACUGCAGGGAGUCAGAGGGUGGGCGUCCCAGGUGUCCUCAAGCGCUGCUGCAUGUCAGAAACACGUGGAGCCUCAGGAAUGCUCACGCCCACGUCCAGCCCAG
rnacentral:lncRNA from 1 species